rnacentral:rRNA from 1 species
CUUGCUUUGCUAGAACGCACCACCGGCGUCACAGUUUUGCUACCACCGUGUCGCCGUUUUGUUACAACCGGAGUUUCUUUUUGCUACAACCGGCAGCCGGCGAUGCUAGAACUGGCAGCGCGACAAACUAUAAGCGGCAGACAGGGAAUGUUACAACCACAUCCUUUUUUUGCUACAACCACAUCCUGUUUUUGCCACCACCGGCGACUUUUUUGCUACAUGCGUGGCAGACGACGGGCGCCGAUGCUUCAACCUGACAUGGAAAAAAGCUUCAACUCACCAAGGAGAAGUUACAACCGGUGGCAGAAAAAGCUUCAACAGGCAUAGUGGAAAAAGCUUCAACCCCCAUGAAAAAGCUUCACCCGUGGAAAAAUGCUUCAACCGGCGUAACAAAAGCUUCAACCAGAGGCUAAAAAAGCUUCAACCGGGGGACGAGUCUGUGGGCGCAUGAGCGGCGACAGCGACGAGCGGCGACGGAGAGGGAGAGGACGGGGGUGCUGCGACGGCAAGGGAGAGGACGUGGAUGCUUCCUAUUCUCGCCGGAGCACACGCACGAGGUGGCUGGGGCAGGGACACAUCGCGCCGAAUGGAUCUGAAGCGUGGGGAGGGAGGAAGAAGAUGAUAUGACGUGGGGGAGGGGGGAUCGGACGGCUCCUGCCAGCCAGAUCGCACGGCUGCAGGCUGACCGGCCCAAAUUUGGGCCGGUGCGCCGGCGCGUAUCACUGCCCUGGUUCAAAUGCAAUCAGCCAAGAACAUGCAGUCCAGAAUCAGUAUGCCAUAAUAAUUACAAAAAUAAAAACCAACUGAAUAAUUGUUGGUCAUUGACCAUGUACUGAUAGUCAUCGUCUCAUCAUAGGCAUUCAUUUUGAAAUGAGUUUUCAUCAUGCAAAAUGCUCCUUCUUCUGUUUUUGUGUAGAGACAGAAAAGACUUACCAAGGGCAGAUUUAAAAGAACAAAUUACAAACACAUAAUUCAUCCUGCAUCACAAUCACAAAUUCGUGUG